AUGCAUAUGUGGCUGAGGAGGAAGAAGAGGAUUUGAUGUGGACUUUUCUUAAUUUCUGAGAUCUUCCUUCUAAAUGUGUUGAUGGCAUGUCUUUAAAUGCAGCUACAUGAUUUUCCAGGUACACAGCUUUCCAAAUAUCCAUUGAAAUUAGAGAGUGAGUUUCCAUGGCUGUUCAUAAAGUGGACAAAGUUCAGUCCUUGAAAGUGUCAACACAAUGAAAAGAGAGGAUUGUCUUUGAUUCUCAGGGGGAGAGUGGGGUGAGAGGUCUGAAGGAGAACAAGCAUGGCAUUUUCUGCCAUUGAUUAUUGCAAGUGGAUUUGGCAGCUCAUGUGUUCACCAUCCCCAGUGACUGCUUCUCCAUUUGUAUCACAAGGAAAUGGGGGGACAGUUUUUCCCUUCCCACCUGUCUUGGUGGCUGGGAUCAGGUGCAGCAAUCCCUGAGGAGGAUGCCUGCUGUCCCUUGUGUGUCUCUUUGCUCUGGGACAGAGCACACGCUGAACAGAACUGAUCUGUGUGCUGUCAGCAUCCCGUGCAUUUCAGCAUUGCUUUGGUGCUGGACAUGUGCCCUUGUGGGAAAGCCCCAGGUUCUGCACACAGCAUAAACAGGGGUUCAAGUGUUAACUCUCCUUUCUCUGUCUCGGGCUGGAAGCUGCAACAACAACAGAGAUUUGCUCCGCUUCCUGGAGCAAGAGAGGCGAAGGAGGCAGGUGGCUCCAGAGGAGAAAGAUCCAUUCCUGGGGAAGACUCCUCUCUUUGCCAGACCCUACAAGACCUAUAAAGAAGAUGAGCUGUCAAGGCGCAUUAAGAACCUGCUGGGCGAUCAGGACUCCAAGGUGCUCCUGAGCCACGAGUCCCCUCUGAAUCCCAUCUGGAUUCCAAACAAGCCCAAAGCCCAGUCACAAAGCCACAGUCAUAGGCCGGCCUCCAGGAAGACAAACCUUUCACAUGAGGACAGAUGGAGGGAAUGCUCAACACAAUCACUGGAGCACACACCAAAUCCUGAGAGGAACUAUGACAGCCAUGACAGUCUCUCAGAUCGAGGGUCAGAGGGCAAAGCUCCACAAUGCAAAAUCCUGCCUGAGCCUGUCAAGAAAGAGCAGCCCACUGAUGUGCCAUCUACUGAAAAAACUUUGAAGCCCAUCGUGCACAUUUAUGUACAGUCCAUUGAAGGAAUAUUGAAGGAAAUGAGCAGCUGCCUGCCACCUCUCCUGCCACCUCUGCAGUCACCUGCUAGAACAGAGACUUGCAAAUUUCCAUUGCAGGCAGAGGAAAAGAAGCCCAUUGAUGUGCCAUCAAUUGAAGAAAUUUUGAGAGAAAUGAGCAGCUCACUGCCACCUCUCCUGUCACCUCUUCAGACGCCUACAAGAGCAGAGACGUGCAGACUUCCAUUGGCAGGAAAGGAAUCCCAACCUGAUGGAUCUGCAGCACAGAAACAGAAUAAAGAGAAAUGCAAAGGAAACCCAGUUCUUUCUGUGCUGACAGAGCAGGCAGGCAGAGCGUCAGGAAGGUUGCCGAGUUCUCAGCCAAGAACAUCGUAAGUAAACAGACCGUGUUUCCACCUCUGCCGGGCAGAUACUUGAAAGAACCUGGAAUGAACAAACAUUUGGGCUAUCAGUCAGAUUUUUCUCAGAAAACCUCAAUGCAGGGAAUUUUCCCCAACUGAAGAAUUAUUAUUUCAUGAUCUACUCAUGAAAUUGUUGAGGUUGGAAAAGAUCUUGAAGAGCUUAAGCAAACAGAUUAACGUGACACCAUUAUUCCCAGUGGCCACCGGCCUUGGGAUUUGCACAAGGAGAAGGUGCCCUUGUCUCCUGGAGAGAAGUUGCUCUCACCUUCAAGGAAGCCAGACUUGAAGAGGAGAGCCAUGAGGAGUUCAGAGGAGUCCCCUGGAGAGAGGAAGGUGAGAGGGGCAGGGGGACGUGGGUUUGGACAAUGACCAAGGUGGUGUUUGAAAAACCCAAGUGGAGUUUCCACUUCAUACGUUGGCACUAGAGCCAUGAUUGAUCUCCUGUAAGGGUGUUAUCAAACCUGUAAGGGGAAUGUUCCCACAGCUGAUUCCCAUUGGUCACCAAUACCCUUCUGAGAAAACGGAAAGCCUUGUAAGCUGUUGUUUUGUGUGUUUUGGUGCUUUUAGUGUUUUCUUGGGAUCCUGGUUUCCUGAGAAAACAAAACCUCAGCUGUCCUCCGCCAGAGGAGGUUUUGGCAGCUUGUGGCUGCCCAGCCCCUGCCAGCACUGCUGGGUUUCUCUGGGUUUCAGCCCAAGCUGAGCUUUGUAGCUUGGUGGUGGCCCAUUCUUGUGUUCCUGCAUCAAAAGCAGUAGGUAUCUGAAGCACUUGGCAGAUGGAUAAAUAGUCAAAGCGCUUGUUUGGAUUUCCCUGGAGCUGCUGUGAUGCCAGCAGUGAUGCCUAAGAAGUGGCUGUGUGUUGGAGUCCCAGGCACAGAAAAUGUCCUUUUGAUCUGUGCUGACCGGCUCCGGCACUUGAGAGAACACAGGGUUGGAGUUAAGACCAUGGAGAAGGCUUCUAAAACUGAGUGGAGGAGCUGGGAAUGUCGAUGUGUGAAUUAGAUAGCAUUAUGUUAAUUCACUGGGUGAAAAAGACAGUUUAGAGUUUGAGAUGUAGUAGUGAAUAAGAGACAAGGUAUAGGUUCUUGGGUGUUGGUUUGUCUUUGCCUUUCUUCUUUCUUCUCCAUGGUUUUGGCUGGUAUGGGGUGAUUGGAUGGAAAGGUAUGCAGUGCAGAACAUGGGUGUUUGGUUAUUGGGUUAAAAGUAUAAGUAAAUGGGUUGGCAUUUGAUAACUGGAUGGUUUAUGCUUAAAAGGCCUUGUGGACAGAGCCCACAUUCUCCGUUUGUAGCUUGUUAGGUUAGUGUGUGGAAGUACUUACUAUCUGUAAAAAUGUAAAGUAGAUAAGGUAAAACAAACAUCCUAAGUCUGAAGACAAAAGCCGUCUCUCUGCUCAUCAGUCCUCAUCCUGGGGAAAAGAUCUGAACCCUUUGACAUUUGGUGCCCCGGAGACUUUUACAGCUGUGUGUAGUCAGGGGCUUUGCAGAGACCCCUUUGCAGAGUCCCUCGGCCAUUGCAGUGGCUUUCCCUGGAAUUCCAAGACAGCCCUUCAUUUCAAACUCGGAGGUGGUCGUUGCUCUCAAGUGUUUUUUGGGAAGCUGACUCCCAGAGUCAGUGCUGACUCCCAGACAGCACUGGGAGGUCAGGUGCACAAGGAGUUGGCUGCAGGCCUUGCAGUGAUGGGCACUCCCUGUGGACAUUGCAGGGCCUGUCUCCCUUUCUGUUCCUCCUCCCAGAACAGGUGGCUCAGCAGGGCCGGGGGAAUAACUUUGCUUCCUGUGUGGGUUUUUUAACUUUGUCAUUUUCUGAGCUUCCUGAGUUAAGAAUAAAGAAGAGUAGGGAAAUGGUGAGGAAACUGGA
ensembl:lncRNA AF4/FMR2 family member 1-like